ensembl:miRNA mir23a-2 microRNA 23a-2
GGAAUUCCUGGCAGAGUGAUUUUUAAACCUAAUGACUGAAUCACAUUGCCAGGGAUUUCC